CAAGUACUCCCUUCUUUCAAAAAUACUUGUCAUAAAAAAGAAUGUAUUUAGAUAUAUUUUAGUUUUAGAUACAUUCAUUUUUAUAAAUUUAUGCGACAAGUAAUUCCGAACGGAAGGAGUAGUUA
rfam:Hordeum vulgare subsp. vulgare, WGS project CAJW01000000 data, contig: morex_contig_46606